UUUGAUACUUAAAUCGACGCCCAAUGACAAUGUGCCGUCAUGUAUUGCCAAAAACGACGUCCGAUUUAUAGUAGUCUUCUCUUAUCGAUGUCCACUAUUAAUGAAUAAUAGAAUAACAAAUUGCUGCCCUUACACUUAUACAUGUAAAUGCAUAUUGAUAAAUGACAUGCGAGUAUACUUAAAUAAGAACCGAACGACAAAGAAAACUAAACGAAAUAUAUAUAUAGGGC
rnacentral:lncRNA from 1 species